rnacentral:rRNA from 1 species
CCGUGCUAAGGUAGCAUAAUCAUUUGUUCUAUAAUGGAGGACUAGAAUAAACGAGCUGACNACACCUAAGCUUUUCUACUUAACCCCAUAAAAUUUUAUUUCUCUUUCAAAAAGAAGAGAUUACGUAGAAAGACAAUAAGACCCUAUAAAACUAACAUCAGAAUUAUUUUUAAAAAAUUGAAACUCUUUAUAAAACCUGAUUAAGCUGGGGCGGCAUUUAAUUCACAUUAAAAAAUUUAACAAGAUGACUGAAAACCACAGAGCUUUCCGAAAAAAAUAAAACAAGUUACUUUAGGGAUAACAGCACAAUUUUCUCAAAAAGAUCUUAUUAAAGAGAAAGACUUGUGACCUCGAUGUUGAAUUGAGGGGCCUCUUUUAAGCAAAAAUAAAUCAAGGGGGUCUGUUCGACCCUUAAACCCUCA